UACGUAGGAUGCAAGCGUUGUCCGGAAUUAUUGGGCGUAAAGAGCGCGCAGGCGGUUUGGAAAGUUGGACGUGAAAUUUUAGGGCUUAACCCUAAAGGGUCGUCCAAAACUCCCAGACUAGAGUGCAGGAGAGGAAAGCGGAAUUCCCGGUGUAGUGGUGAAAUGCGUAGAUAUCGGGAGGAACACCGAAGGCGAAGGCAGUGUCCUGGCGCGUAACUGACGCUGAGGUGCGAAAGCCAGGGGAGCGAACGGG
rnacentral:rRNA from 1 species